AUGCACGCUGGCGGCGUGCCUCAUCCAUGCCAGUCGCGCGAACAGACGAGGAGCUUGCUCCUCUGACGUUAGCGGCGGACGGGUGAGUAACACGUGGAUAACCUACCUAUAAGACUGGGAUAACUUCGGGAAACCGGAGCUAAUACCGGAUAAUAUAUUGAACCGCAUGGUUCAAUAGUGAAAGACGGUUUUGCUGUCACUUAUAGAUGGAUCCGCGCCGCAUUAGCUAGUUGGUAAGGUAACGGCUUACCAAGGCGACGAUGCGUAGCCGACCUGAGAGGGUGAUCGGCCACACUGGAACUGAGACACGGUCCAGACUCCUACGGGAGGCAGCAGUAGGGAAUCUUCCGCAAUGGGCGAAAGCCUGACGGAGCAACGCCGCGUGAGUGAUGAAGGUCUUCGGAUCGUAAAACUCUGUUAUUAGGGAAGAACAAAUGUGUAAGUAACUAUGCACGUCUUGACGGUACCUAAUCAGAAAGCCACGGCUAACUACGUGC
rnacentral:rRNA from 1 species